rnacentral:rRNA from 1 species
UACGUAUGGAGCAAGCGUUAUCCGGAUUUACUGGGUGUAAAGGGAGUGUAGGUGGCCAUGCAAGUCAGAAGUGAAAAUCCGGGGCUCAACCCCGGAACUGCUUUUGAAACUGUGAGGCUAGAGUGCAGGAGGGGUGAGUGGAAUUCCUAGUGUAGCGGUGAAAUGCGUAGAUAUUAGGAGGAACACCAGUGGCGAAGGCGGCUCACUGGACUGUAACUGACACUGAGGCUCGAAAGCGUGGGGAGCAAACAGGAUUAGAUACCCCAGUAGUCCGGCGCUACU